GGAAGGAUGGCAGAGUGGACGAUUGCGCUGGUCUCGAAAACCGGUAUACGGUCACCGUAUCGGGGGUUCGAAUCCCCCUCCUUCCG
rnacentral:tRNA from 1 species